rnacentral:lncRNA from 1 species
GAUGAGGAGCGACAGUUGGAGUGAUGUUUGUAGGUACGGCUAAAUCAAAUAAAUCAGCAUAGUGAUUAUAUAAUUUUUCUAUGUAAUCCUUUGCAUCAGUCGUAGCCGUCCACAAAUCAGGUUGUACUUGUUCAGAAUCAUGGUUAGUAUUUAUUUCUAAGUUAGUAUAAAUAAGAGUACUAAAGUGACACAUAUUAUUAUAUUUCAUGCACGGAUUUAGNNN